rnacentral:rRNA from 1 species
GUAGUCAUAUGCUUGUCUCAAGAUUAAGCCAUGCAUGUCUAAGUAUAAGCAAUUAUACCGCGAAACUGCGAAUGGGUCAUUUUAUAAGUUAUCGUUUUUUUUAGAAUACCUUUUUACUUGGAUAACCGUGGUAAUUCUAGAGAUAAUACACGCGGGAAAUCCCGACUUCGCAAGGGAGGUAUUUAUUAUAUUAAAAACCAAUGCCCCUCGGGGCUCUCUGGGGAAUCAUGAUAACUUGUCGAAUCGACAGGCCUUGUGCCGGCGAUGGUUCAUUCAAAUUUCUUCCCUAUCAACUUUCGUUGUUUGGGUAUUGGCCAAACAUGGGUGCAACGGGUAACGGGGAAU